rnacentral:rRNA from 1 species
GACGUAGGAGGCAAGCGUUAUCCGGAUUUACUGGGCGUAAAGAGCGCGCGGGCGGCUUAACAAGUCAGAUGUAAAAUCUCCCGGCUUAACUGGGAGGAGCCAUCUGAUACUGUUAAGCUUGAGUGCAUCAGAGGGAGAUGGAAUUCCCGGUGUAGUGGUGAAAUGCGUAGAUAUCGGGAGGAACACCAGUGGCGAAAGCGGUCUCCUAGGGUGUUACUGACGCUGAGGCGCGAAAGUGUGGGGAG